GAUGAACGCUAGCUACAGGCUUAACACAUGCAAGUCGAGGGGAAACGAUAUUGGAAGCUUGCUUCCGAUAGGCGUCGACCGGCGCACGGGUGAGUAACGCGUAUCCAACCUGCCCGUCACUUGGGAAUAACCUUGCGAAAGUAAGACUAAUGCCCAAUGACAUUUAUAGAAGGCAUCUGAAAUGAAUUAAAGAUUUAUCGGUGAUGGAUGGGGAUGCGUCUGAUUAGCUUGUUGGCGGGGUAACGGCCCACCAAGGCGACGAUCAGUAGGGGUUCUGAGAGGAAGGUCCCCCACAUUGGAACUGAGACACGGUCCAAACUCCUACGGGAGGCAGCAGUGAGGAAUAUUGGUCAAUGGGCGAGAGCCUGAACCAGCCAAGUAGCGUGCAGGAAGACGGCCCUAUGGGUUGUAAACUGCUUUUAUAGGGGAAUAAAGUGAGCCACGUGUGGUUUUUGCAUGUACCCUAUGAAUAAGGACCGGCUAAUUCCGUG
rnacentral:rRNA from 1 species